GUUUUUUAUUGCACAAAGCCCCCCUAUACUCAGAAAUCCAAACACUCGAACAACAAGUUGGUUAGCCAGCACCGGCUAUUUGCUUUGACAGACACACCACAAUCAAUGAUGAAGUUGAUGAUGGCUGGCGAUGACGACGAUGUUUUUUUUCGAGUGUCUUGAACACGGCUCGCCUGCUGUUUGUAAUGGUUCGGUCUUGGCAACACCACAAUUAUAAACUUCUGCUGUUGUUGUGGCUGGCUUGCCUCCACCUUUUGUUUUAUUUAUUUAGCCUAGAGCUAGCUUUGUUUGUUGCAGCAAAUACUAACUAAAAAAGUAAAGCCUUUCGGUUCUUUUGUUGGCUAUUUUAGCAAUUCUUAGUGGACCCUAGGUAAGUUGCAGGGGUUGAAUGACUCUGAGGCUAUUGGCCGGCAUGUAUGUGUCUUGGAUCUUUGUCUGUUUUAAGCUGGCUUCUUUUGAUGGACACAGUUUACCUUAGCAAAGGGAAAAACACAACAAUUGAAAGAGAGCGAGAGAAAGCACUUCUAGGGAUUUCCUCUUUAAGUAAACACUAAAUAAGUACUUGUAUUUAGAUAAUAUGGCCACACUUAUUACAUAUAUUGCAUGUCUUCUAGAGAGUGGGAUUUUCAGUUUGGCCUUUUGUUGUGCUAGUUAAAAUCCCUUGCUCUGCUCUCUUUACCUAGACUAGAUACGACUAGGCACGCUUCGAGGUUGUUUCGGGUGGUCUAUUAAUGUGGUUGUAGUUGUUGCAGAACUAAUUGCAUGCUUGGCCUGUAUAAAUUUGCUUGUAAAUGUUUGUAUUACGGCUCUUGCAAGGUGUUGUUGUUUUAAUCGGCGUGAUUGUUUUUUUUUAUUUCAUAAACAAAUCCAAAAAAGCGAAACGAAAUCGAAACGUGAUUUUUUAUUGAAUUUCUUAAUGAAAAAUAUUCGCACAAUUCACAAGAAAUGCCAAUUUAUACACGUAUUAUCAUUUGGUUUGAUUAAAAAAAGCGAUAUUUUUUGAUUUCGUUAAUACUGUGGCACUC
rnacentral:sRNA from 1 species